GACGAACGCUGGCGGCGUGCCUAAUACAUGCAAGUUGAGCGCUGAAGGUUGGUACUUGUACCAACUGGAUGAGCAGCGAACGGGUGAGUAACGCGUGGGGAAUCUGCCCUUGAGCGGGGGACAACAUUUGGAAACGAAUGCUAAUACCGCAUAAAAACUUUAAACACAAGUUUUAAGUUUGAAAGAUGCAAUUGCAUCACUCAAAGAUGAUCCCGCGUUGUAUUAGCUAGUUGGUGAGGUAAAGGCUCACCAAGGCGAUGAUACAUAGCCGACCUGAGAGGGUGAUCGGCCACAUUGGGACUGAGACACGGCCCAAACUCCUACGGGAGGCAGCAGUAGGGAAUCUUCGGCAAUAGACGAAAGUCUGACCGAGCAACGCCGCGUGAGUGAAGAAGGUUUUCGGAUCGUAAAACUCUGUUGGUAGAGAAGAACGUUGGUGAGAGUGGAAAGCUCAUCAAGUGACGGUAACUACCCAGAAAGGGACGGCUAACUACGUG
rnacentral:rRNA from 1 species